rnacentral:rRNA from 1 species
UAUAACGACUCUCGGCAACGGAUAUCUCGGCUCUCGCAUCGAUGAAGAACGUAGCGAAAUGCGAUACUUGGUGUGAAUUGCAGAAUCCCGUGAACCAUCGAGUCUUUGAACGCAAGUUGCGCCCCAAGCUGUUAGGCUGAGGGCACGUCUGCCUGGGUGUCACG